AACGAACGCUGGCGGCAGGCCUAACACAUGCAAGUCGAGCGCGCCCUUCGGGGUGAGCGGCGGACGGGUGCGUAACGCGUGGGAACGUGCCCUUUUCUACGGAAUAGCCUCGGGAAACUGAGAGUAAUACCGUAUACGCCCUUUGGGGGAAAGAUUUAUCGGAAAAGGAUCGGCCCGCGUUGGAUUAGGUAGUUGGUGGGGUAAUGGCCUACCAAGCCGACGAUCCAUAGCUGGUUUGAGAGGAUGAUCAGCCACACUGGGACUGAGACACGGCCUAGACUCCUACGGGAGGCAGCAGUGGGGAAUCUUAGACAAUGGGGGCAACCCUGAUCUAGCCAUGCCGCGUGAGUGAUGAAGGCCGUAGGGUUGUAAAGCUCUUUCAGCUGGGAAGAUAAUGACGGUACCAGCAGAAGAAGCCCCGGCUAACUCCGUG
rnacentral:rRNA from 1 species